AUAGAAAUUGAAAUCCAUGAUCAAGGAUCCAUCUUCAACUCAAUCUAAUCCCUCUAUUGAAGAAGAUGAAUAGGGUAUGAUGGCCAACGAGCUCAGAUUCAUAAAUUAAUGGAUGGGUUUGUGCAAGUCUUUUCACGAAAUGGCGAAGAAACAGCGUAUAGAUUUCCAAAUUUGGUGAAUAUAGUCAAGGAAUCAUGUAAGCCUGCUACCAUGACUUUCAUAUUGGAUGCAGAGUUGCAGUGGAUAGAAAUAAUGGAAGCAAGCUGAUGGCCUUCCAACAACUAUCCUUGCAAGAGAGAGGGAGUAAAGAUUCCUUGAUUACAAUGGAUAGCA